GUUGCUGGCUGUUGUCCUCAUUAUGGACGCUUCUUGGCACUGUUCUUGCACAGCACUACAGCAGAGCAGAGGAGCUCAGCUCUUGCACAAUGAAAUUGAGCAGCCCUUUUGUGAGGUCGGUCACUUGGUCAUGCACUGAAGUUCUCACUCAGCUAACUUCUUUUCGGCUGCAGCUUCCAUAUCUUGGUCAUGCACGUACGUUUUGCUUCCACGUCUUAAUUUACUCCGUAGUUGGUAGCGGUGGUUCGGUACUACGGAGUAUUUUUUCAAGGGACUGGAACAAGAGUUAAUCUUUGUUUACGAACCUGAACCUCGUCAAGAGGAUAGGAGCUCGGCAAUUCUUUCAGAACAAGAGAAAAUUCCCGUUUACUUAAGGAAUACUGGACCGAGAACCGGUGACAUGGAAACAAUUCUUAUUCGCCGUUCAACAGCAGCCAAAUUUCCAAGAAGUUGCAAUCAUAUAUAUAUCCCAGCCGAUUUGUUUCAAUUGUAGAUGUGACGGAAGGAUGAUAGAGCAACUAUAGAAUUAUGGAAUAAGCUCAGAUGAGUGGUUCGUUUCUGAAGAUUGAAGAACAAUACAAGUGGUUCUAGACUUAUUAGACUGGAUCAAAGUGAGCACAUGUGCAGAGCAUGUCAUCGCUACUACACAACCGGAACAACAAGGAUGGGGAGAUGUAAUUUUCAGCGACACGUAACGAAAACUAGUGUCCGAUUAAAUCUUAUAGAUGCUGAUUGAGUGAUCGGUCAUCCUGUAAUCCCAGACCAGUUAUUUCAAGUGGGUUUAGAACAGUCCUUGUCAAUGUAAGCACGAAAUUGUGUUCUGGUUUUUAUUGGGACAUCGGUUGAAUCUUCUCCUCGCUAGUAAUUAUUUAUUUCUUGCUAGAUUAUUCAUGGUUGUGAUGUUUUUAUGGAAAUGCGGUUGUUGCAGCUUAUAGUAGUAAUUUGGAUCUCACAAUGAAAAAGAAAGUCUUGGAGAGUUGACCCAAAUUUUGAUAACUGGGAGUCUGGGUCUCUGGGGCAUUGAGUUGAAGCAUCUGUUGUUCGUCAUGGUUAUCCCAUUGGGCAAAAGACGAGUUGGUCUUCUUCUAUCAAUGAAUGAUGGAGCGGUGGUGGUAAUGCAGUAAGUAGAGGUAAAUUUAUGCGAUGACUUGUCAAGUGGCAUGGCGAGCAGAGUGACCACCCAAUCUGAUAGCGGCAAGAUGAAGUGCAGAACAUGAAGGGUACUGAAGAGAAAAGAAGACGAGACGAGGAAUUUUUUUUGUUAUUCGUUUCAAGAGUCUUUUAACAUCAGAUAACUUUUAUUAGCUUAAACUAUACUAGUAGAUCAUCCACUAGAAAUUGUAUAAGAAAAAUCAGGGGAUCACCUAACACUGCUCCCUAAGUGAUGCUGGUGGCGAAACAAGCAAAUAUGCCAAGAACUCGUUUGUAAUGGAAGUUCUACGAUAGUAUCCUUUUUUA